rnacentral:rRNA from 1 species
UACGAAGGCCACAAGCGUUAUCCGGAUUUAUUGGGCGUAAAGGGCGCGUAGGGGGAUUUGCGCGUCUCAUGUUAAAUCUCACUGCUCAACGGUGAGGCUGCAUGGGAAACGGCGAAUCUUGAAGGCGUUAGAGGCAGAUAGAACGCACGGUGUAGGGGUGAAAUCCGUUGAUAUCGUGCGGAAUACCAAAGGCGAAGGCAUUCUGCUGGGACGUUCUUGACCCUGAAGCGCGAAAGCGUGGGGAG